rnacentral:rRNA from 1 species
CAACUUUCAACAACGGAUCUCUUGGCUCUCGCAUCGAUGAAGAACGCAGCGAAAUGCGAUACGUAAUGUGAAUUGCAGAACACAGUGAAUCAUCGAAUCUUUGAACGCACCUUGCGCCCCUUGGCAUUCCGAGGGGCACACCCGUUUGAGUGUCGUGA